AACGCGAAGAACCUUACCUGGGUUUGACAUCUCCGGACAAUCGUAGAGAUACGACUUUUGUAGCAAUACAACCGGAAGACAGGUGCUGCAUGGCUGUCGUCAGCUCGUGUGGUGACAUGUUGGGUUAAGUCCCGCAACGAGCGCAACCCUUAUCUUUAGUUGCCAGCAUUCAGUUGGGCUCUCUAGAGAGACUGCCGUGGUGAACACGGAGGAAGGUGGGGAUGACGUCAAGUCCUCAUGGCCUUUAUAUCCAGGGCGACACACGUGAUACAAUGGUCGGUACAGAGGGAAGCGAACCCGCGAGGGGGAGCUAAUCUCAAAAAGCCGAUCUCAGUUCGGAUUGGAGUCUGCAACUCGACUCCAUGAAGUUGGAAUCGCUAGUAAUCGCGGAUCAGCACGCCGCGGUGAAUACGUUCCCGGGCCUUGUACACACCGCUACAGU
rnacentral:rRNA from 1 species